rnacentral:rRNA from 1 species
AAGUAUGAAGGUCCAGCCUGCCCAGUGAACCUAUUUAAACGGCCGCGGUAUCCUAACCGUGCAAAGGUAGCGUAAUCACUUGUCCCCUAAUUAGAGACCUGUAUGAACGGCUACAUGAGGGCUCACCUGUCUCCUACAACCCACUCAAUGAAACUGAACCCUCAGUCCAAAAGCUGAGAUACACUCAUAAGACGAGAAGACCCCGCGGAACUUUAAGCAACCCGCUACCAAAAGACUUGGCCCAAUUUCGGCCACGAAACCUCUUUAAUAAAGUAGGGCAACUGCUUUAAGUUGGGGCGACUACCGGAGUAACAAAAAACCUCCAUGAACAAGGACCAACCCUCCAUUACAGGCUGACAAGCCUAAAAUAUCACCCAUUUUGACCCCAGUCAAACUGACCACCGAACCAAGCUACCCCGGGGAUAACAGCGCCAUCCUCUUCAAGAGCCCGCAUCGCCAAGAGGGCUUACGACCUCGAUGUUGGAUCAGGACACCCAGGCAGUGCACGCCGCCAAAGGUUCGUUUGUUCAAC